GACGAACGCUGGCGGCGUGCCUAAUACAUGCAAGUAUAACGCACAGUUUAUACCGUAGCUUGCUACACCAUAGACUGUGAGUUUCGAACGGGUGAGUAACGCGUAGGUAACCUGCCUGGUAGCGGGGGAUAACUAUUGGAAACGAUAGCUAAUACCGCAUAAUAUUUAUUAUUUCAUGAUAAUUGAUUGAACGAUGCUAUUGCAUCACUACCAGCUGGACCUUCGUUGUAUUAGCUAGUAGGUGAGGUAACGGCUCACCUAGGCGACGAUACAUAGCCGACCUGAGAGGGUGAUUGGCCACAAUGGGACGGAGACACGGCCCAGACUCCGAAGGGAGGAAGCAGGAGGGAAUCUUCGGCAAUGGACGAAAGUCUGACCGAGCAACGCCGCGUGAGUGAAGAAGGGUUUCGGAUCGGAAAGCUCUGUUGUAAGAGAAGAACGGGUGUGAGAGUGGAAAGUUCACACUGUGACGGUAUCUUACCAGAAAGGGACGGCUAACUACGUG
rnacentral:rRNA from 1 species